GAUAAGUAAUGUGAAUUGCAGAUUUCAGUGAAUCAUCGAAUCUUUGAACGCACCUUGCGCUCCUUGGUAUUCCGAGGAGCAUGCCUGUBUGAGUGUCAUC
rnacentral:rRNA from 1 species